rnacentral:lncRNA from 1 species
UGACCCACAACAUAGAAAGCCAUACAUUAUUGUUUACAAGAGAGCUUGAAAUAUUAUUAAAAAGUUGGAAACAGGUCAACAAUUCAAGAGAUUAAGAAUGUUCAAAACAAUGAUUAACAACACUGCAUUUAAUAAAUAAACAUAUCAUGGUUAAUCCCCUUCAAAGAAUUAGGGAUCACUUCCAGAACCCUGUUUUCCCCUAGCAACAUAUGCAAACUCACAAGCUCCAGACAA